rnacentral:lncRNA from 1 species
CGGAAAGUAGAAACCAUACCUUCUGUCAAAAAGACAUGUUUUCCAAUCUAAAAUUCAAAACCCUACAUCCCCAAAUAUUCAUCAUCGUCAUCGUCAUCGUCCUAUCAUGAAUCGCAACUACGAUGAAUUACUGGACGAAAUUUGGGAGCUAAUACUGAACCAAUUAGGAGAUAAUCAUCAUCAACAAUUCGAAUAACUUUCAUUGGUAAGCAAAUUAUUAUUGUCGUUAACCGAUCGGUUACGCCGCCAUUUCACCGUCGUAGAUCAGACGUAAGUCGUUCACGGUAUGAUUUCUGGAUUCAUUUACCGAUUCAAAAACCUAAAAACCCUAGAUAUUAGUUAAUUGCAAAACUGUAACGUAGAAACUGCUAUUCAUGAGAUUGCUCGUACGUCUGUUGCUUUGAAUUUAGAAUCUAUUGAUGUUUCGAUUUAUGUUUUGGUUCUGAUUGAAGAAGUUAGGGUUGAGUAAUAGGAAAAUUAAGGUGUUGAGAUGUGCGAAUGUUGAUAAGUUACGUGAUGUUGAUUUGAUAAAGCGAAGUUUCUGUUGUGAUUUGAUAUUCACAACUAAACAACAAU